CUACCACAUCCAAGGAAGGCAGCAGGCGCGCAAAUUACCCACUCCCGGCACGGGGAGGUAGUGACGAAAAAUAACGAUGCGGGGCUCUUUUGAGAACCCGCAAUUGGAAUGAGAACAGUCCAAAUCCUUUAACGAGGACCCAUUAGAGUACUAGUCUGGUGCCAGCACACGCGGUAACUCCAGCUCUAAUAGCGUAUAUUAAAGUUGUUGCGGUUAAAAAGCUCGUAGUUGGAUCUCAGUUCCGGGGUCAAGGGCGGUCCGCCCGUUUUUUUCGGGCGGCCCACCGCCCGCCCCGAACCGCUCGGGCCGGUUUCCCUCGGUGAUCUUCGCCGGUUGUCUUGGGUUUACCGGCCGGUUUACUUUGAAAAAAUUAGAGUGCUCAGGGCAUGCGAGACGCAUGGAUAAUGGUGCAUGGAAUAAUGGAAUAGGACCUCGGUUCUAUUUUCUGUUGGUCUAGAGAACGCGAGGAAAUGAUUAAGAGGGACUGCCGGGGGCAUUCGUAUUGCGGCGCUAGAGGUGAAAUUCUUGGACCGCCGCAAGACGAACUACUGCGAAAGCAUUUGCCAAGAAUGUUUCCAUUAAUCAAGAACGAAAGUUAGAUGACCGAAGGCGAUCAGAUACCGCCCUAGUUCUAACCAUAAACGAUGCCAUCCAGCAAUCCGGCCGUGUUCCUUAUAAACACACGACACGCCGGGCAGCUUCCGGGAAACCAAAGCUUUUGGGUUCCGGGGGAAGUAUGGUU
rnacentral:rRNA from 1 species